rnacentral:rRNA from 1 species
UACAGAGGGGGCAAGCGUUAUUCGGAAUUAUUGGGCGUAAAGGGCGCGUAGGCGGCAUGGCAAGUGGAUGGUGAAAUCCCUCGGCUUAACCGAGGAACUGCCGGCCAAACUGCUUCGCUUGAGACCGGGAGAGGUGAGUGGAAUUCCCAGUGUAGCGGUGAAAUGCGUAGAUAUUGGGAGGAACACCAGUGGCGAAGGCGGCUCACUGGACCGGUACUGACGCUGAUGCGCGAAAGCGUGGGGAGCAAACGGG